AUUGAACGCUGGCGGCAGGCCUAACACAUGCAAGUCGAGCGAGCGGCGGACGGGAGAGUAAUGUAUGGGGACUGCCCGAUAGAGGGGGAUAACUACUGGAAACGGUGGCUAAUACCGCAUACUAUCGGAUAACCCAUAUGGGAUUAGCUAGUAGGUGGGGUAAAGGCUCACCUAGGCGACGAUCUCUAGCUGGUCUGAGAGGCUGAUCAGCCCCACUGGGACUGAGACACGGCCCAGACUCAUACGGAGGCCGCAGUCGUGAAUAUUGCGCAAUGGGGGCAAGCCUGAUGCAGCCCUGCCGCGUAUAUGAAGAAGGCCUUAGGGUUUUAAAGUACUUUCAGCGGGGAAGCGUUACCCGAAGAAGAAGCACCGGCUAACUCCGUGCCAGCAGCCGCGGUAAUAC
rnacentral:rRNA from 1 species